rnacentral:rRNA from 1 species
GAUGAACGCUGGCGGCGUGCCUAAUACAUGCAAGUCGAGCGAACAGACGAGGAGCUUGCUCCUCUGACGUUAGCGGCGGACGGGUGAGUAACACGUGGAUAACCUACCUAUAAGACUGGGAUAACUUCGGGAAACCGGAGCUAAUACCGGAUAAUAUAUUGAACCGCAUGGUUCAAUAGUGAAAGACGGUUUUGCUGUCACUUAUAGAUGGAUCCGCGCCGCAUUAGCUAGUUGGUAAGGUAACGGCUUACCAAGGCAACGAUGCGUAGCCGACCUGAGAGUGUGAGCGGCCACACUGGAACUGAGACACGGUCCAUACUCCUACGGGAGGCAGCAGUAGGGAAGCUUCCGCAAUGGGCGAAAGCCUGACGGAGCAACGCCGCGUGAGUGAUGAAGGUCUUCGGAUCGUAAAACUCUGUUAUUAGGGAAGAACAAAUGUGUAAGUAACUAUGCACGUCUUGACGGUACCUAAUCAGAAAGCCACGGCUAACUACGUG